GUACACAAAAAUGCACAUAUUGUGAGCUCGAUGAGUAGGGCGGGACACGUGGUAUCCUGUCUGAAUAUGGGGGGACCAUCCUCCAAGGCUAAAUACUCCUGACUGACCGAUAGUGAACCAGUACCGUGAGGGAAAGGCGAAAAGAACCCCGGCGAGGGGAGUGAAAAAGAACCUGAAACCGUGUACGUACAAGCAGUGGGAGCCUCUUUAUGGGGUGACUGCGUACCUUUUGUAUAAUGGGUCAGCGACUUAUAUUCUGUAGCAAGGUUAACCGAAUAGGGGAGCCGAAGGGAAACCGAGUCUUAACUGGGCGUUAAGUUGCAGGGUAUAGACCCGAAACCCGGUGAUCUAGCCAUGGGCAGGUUGAAGGUUGGGUAACACUAACUGGAGGACCGAACCGACUAAUGUUGAAAAAUUAGCGGAUGACUUGUGGCUGGGGGUGAAAGGCCAAUCAAACCGGGAGAUAGCUGGUUCUCCCCGAAAGCUAUUUAGGUAGCGCCUCGUGAAUUCAUCUCCGGGGGUAGAGCACUGUUUCGGCAAGGGGGUCAUCCCGACUUACCAACCCGAUGCAAACUGCGAAUACCGGAGAAUGUUAUCACGGGAGACACACGGCGGGUGCUAACGUCCGUCGUGAAGAGGGAAACAACCCAGACCGCCAGCUAAGGUCCCAAAGUCAUGGUUAAGUGGGAAACGAUGUGGGAAGGCCCAGACAGCCAGGAUGUUGGCUUAGAAGCAGCCAUCAUUUAAAGAAAGCGUAAUAGCUCACUGGUCGAGUCGGCCUGCGCGGAAGAUGUAACGGGGCUAAACCAUGCACCGAAGCUGCGGCAGCGACACUAUGUGUUGUUGGGUAGGGGAGCGUUCUGUAAGCCUGUGAAGGUGGCCUGUGAGGGUUGCUGGAGGUAUCAGAAGUGCGAAUGCUGACAUAAGUAACGAUAAAGCGGGUGAAAAGCCCGCUCGCCGGAAGACCAAGGGUUCCU
rnacentral:rRNA from 1 species